GGAUGUGAGGGCAAUGAUCACCAGGGUUGAUUUCAGCUGAUCUGACUGACAAGGUGGCUGUCCCCUUCCCUCUUCACCAUUCCACAUGCAUCCCUCCUGAAGCUGCGUGAUUGGUCAAAAGAGGAUGGUUCUGGUCAAAGGUAUGCAAAUAGCUGUGCUCCCCUACUAGAGUCUCCAGUCAAGCUCCCAAAACAUUCACUAAAAUUCCUGUUGAGGUUUCAGAGUAAUCCUCUCUAUUUAA
rnacentral:snRNA from 1 species